GAUGAAGAACGUAGCGAAAUGCGAUAAGUAAUGUGAAUUGCAGAAUUCAGUGAAUCAUCGAAUCUUUGAACGCACAUUGCGCCCCUUGGUAUUCCGAGGGGCAUGCCUGUUCGAGCGUCAUUAUAACCCUCAAGCUCAGCUUGGUGUUGGGGCCUGCUGCACUGGCAGCCCUUAAAAUCAGUGGCGGCGCCAUCUGGCUCUAAGCGUAGUAAUUCUUCUCGCUAUGGAGUCCUGGUGGAUGCUUGCCAUCAACCCCCAAUUUUUCUAUGGUUGAACUCGGAUCAGGUAGGGAUACCCGCUGAACUUAAGCAUAUCAAUAAGCGGAGGA
rnacentral:misc_RNA from 1 species